UACGUAGGUGGCAAGCGUUGUCCGGAAUUAUUGGGCGUAAAGCGCGCGCAGGCGGUCCUUUAAGUCCGAUGUGAAAGCCCACGGCUCAACCGUGGAGGGUCAUUGGAAACUGGGGGACUUGAGUGCAGAAGAGGAAAGCGGAAUUCCACGUGUAGCGGUGAAAUGCGUAGAGAUGUGGAGGAACACCAGUGGCGAAGGCGGCUUUCUGGUCUGUAACUGACGCUGAGGCGCGAAAGCGUGGGGAGCAAACAGG
rnacentral:rRNA from 1 species